AGGGAAGGAAAGAAAUGUUUUGCAGAAGAAGCCCCUGGCUCUCAACAGAUGAAGGAAGGAGCAAUGAAGCAGAAAAAUGGCAGAGAACUCCCCACCUUUCUUUCUCAAAAAAAAAACACAUCUCUCGGCUCUUUCCCUCACAGAACAAAAAGAAAAAAUUCUCUAUCUCUUGACUAGAGCUCCCAAUGGGAAAAACAGAGAAAGAAAGCAGAGAAGAAGAAAUUUGCAAGGGAGGCCCUCAUUCCUCUUUCUCUCGGCUAGAACAGAAAAGAAGGAGACGAAAAAUUCCCUCUCCCUCUGCUGUUUGGCUCCCUCAAUUUACUCUCUCCUUCUCUGGACUUCCAGAGAGCAAAAGAAGCAUAAGAAGAUAAAAUUGCAAGAGGCCCUUAGCUCCAACGGACAGAAAGGGGGAAGAAAGACAAAUUUUCUCCCUGACUCACUCUCGCAUCUCUCCCUCUUACGGACAAAGGCUACGGAUAGAAAACAGAGAAGGGAAGGAAAAAAUCUCUCGGCUCUCUCUCUCAGAUUCUCCCUCUCAUUUUUUAACAAAUAAAACACUCACUCCCAGGUUUUCUCUUGAACAGGGCAAGAACAAUGAAAACGGUUAAAGGCUCGUAAUUUCAUCAAAUUUUAGUCAAGAGAUUACAAUCGUCAUUGAGCCACUCUUGGGUCAUUUUUUUUUGUAAAAACUGAUUCAAAAAAUGGAGCCUACGCGAAAAAUUGAGUGAGGGUGUGUAUUUUAAUAAUUUUUAGUAAUAAAAAACAAUCGUCGGCAAUUGAUGACCGGUGGCGGUCUAUCACUGGCGCAGCCAUGGUUGCAAACUGAAGAAGUUUCGGAUGGCCCAGCAAGAAUAAGAAAGAAACCAGCGAAGAAGAUGAAGGCUUUGACAUUUGCAUGAUAAUCUGGAAAAUUUGCAGUUUGGCCCCCCAACCUUUAGAUAAUUACAUUGUGGCCCAAACGCUUUUGUAAUUGAACCAAUCAUGUCCCUAUUGAGUUUUUUUUAUCUUCUUUUUCAUAUUUUAAGUGCAUUUUUAAGCAUGUUGUUUCUAUGAUUUGGGGUAUGAUUAAGUCUUAAUUUGUCUUAGUGAAUUUAUUAUCUUAUUGGGCUUGGUAAAAUAAUUGGAAUUUUUGGACUGAGGUUUGUUUGGUUGGGUUUUGGUAUGAAAUCUGGUUCAUUUUGUUGGGUUUUAGGAAAUGGGUCUUGGCUUAUUUUUAUGGAUUUUUGCUUGGGCUUGGAAAUGGAAGCCCACUCUUUUGCAUUGGGUUUGUUGGAUAAAAGAGUUAGGCUUAGCCUGCUCCACUCCUUUGGGUUUUGGUUAGGCUAGGAGCUUUCGGCCCAAACAAAUAAAUAAAAUGGCCCAAGUGGCUUGUUGGGUUAGGAAGACCAGAAACGAAUUUGCAGAACAGUUCUUGUACAUUUGAGUAAUUAUAUUGUGGCACUAACUACUUUAGGUUUUUUUAAUAAGAUCCCUAUUUUAAUUGCAAAUAGGUCCCUUAACUUUAUUUUUCUUUAAUUUGGCCUCAAAACUUUAUUAAUUUUUACAAUUAAAUCCUUACUUGUUUUAAUUUCAUAGACAUGGUUUGUUUACCUUCAUUUAAGUGCCUCGAUUAAUUCAAUUUCAUAUUCAUCCCCCUUUUUAUGUGAUUAUUUGUUACUUAAAGUGAUGUCUUGACCUUUUCUUUAUUUUUGGAGGGUAAAUAAGUAAUUUUAUUUCAUUAGGGUACCAAUUCAGGGAAGGUACACUCUUUCCCUUAUUUUUGACUUUAUUUGACCCUACGUGCCCUAUAUGACUUUAUGUGCUUAAUUGCAUGCCUCUUGAAUGUUUUUAUUUAUUUAUUUACUUUUUUUAAUUUUGUAUAUUUAUUUUAAUUUAAUUCGAAAUUAUUUGGGAAGGCAAUUAAAUGUCACAAUUGUAAUAAUUAGGUAUUUAUUUUAACUAUUUAUUUUAUUUCCCCUUUUAGAUUGUAGUAGGCCCUUCCCCUAAUGUAAUAGUUAGGGCUUGUUUGCUUUAUUUGCUUAUUGUAAUUUGCAUACUUGCUUGCUAUGUGUUACCGCUUUUCUUAGGAUAUUUGUAUCUAGAUAUUAUACUUAUGUGUUAUGUGCUACGUGCUCUUAUGUGUUUAUUUAUUUUAAUUUAUACUUUAUUUGUUUACUGUGUAUUAUAAAUGCAUGACGUCACCACACUAGUCCAAUGCUAGUUGUGGCUUCUCCCUCCGCCCACUUGUUAGCCCAACGCUAGUAAGAUUUUUUAGAAAUUGGUUAGUCCAAUGUUAGACCCAUAGAUUGUUCAUGCAUUAGAUUCAUUUGUGUGAUAUUCAUUACAUUUUCAUGCAUAUUUUUAUUCUAAGAUCUUUUCCCAUUUGCAUGAUAUUUCCUAUUAUCUAUUAUCUCCCUAUCCUGCCCUUCCUGGGUAGCUCAGCCGGUGACCACAUGCGGUAGUGUCCCGUAGGUCACCGGUUCGAGUCCCAGUAACGAAAAUGGGGUAACCCAACAACCCGAAUAAGGGUUGGGGCCUGAAGUGGGGUCAGGUCCUUUUUUUUGACAAAAAAAAAAAAAA